AGAUAGAUAGAUAGAUAGAUAGAUAGAUAGAUAGAUAGAUAGAUAGAUAGAUAGAUAGAUAGAUAGAUAGAUAGAUAGAUAGAUAGAUAGAUAGAUAGAUAGAUAGAUAGAUGAUUCAUCCAAAUAAUAACACAUAAACAAUAUCAGGGUGUUUGCACCUAUGCCAGAAUAAGAUAUGAGUUUAAUAAAGAUAUAUGGCAAUAUCAAUCGUCUGAACACAGUUCUAAAGAUACAUUUGUUUGAAAGUCAAGCUCAGGGGCAUAAACUGGGUUUGGAUGAACAACAUGAGAACAUGACGAAAACAGAAAGUUCAUCUGACUCUUAUACAGAAUCUGUGAUGUCUCUUUGACCCCCCACCCCCCCCCCCCACCCCUCUCUCUUUUCUCACACAGAAGAAAUUGAGCCGUCGUCUCAUCAUCGUUGACAGGGUUUUAGUUCCUUCUGCAUAACUGCAUGAAUGUGCUGAUUCUCUGCUUUCUCUCUUAGUUUCUUUCUUUUUUACGCUGUGCAAAUCAACAAAGGGACAUGUGAUCCUGGGAACGAGAGACUCUCUCUGUGCCCAGAGGGAGGGAGGAAGAGAGUGACUUUCGGCAUCUUCUCAACAUGCUGUGGCUGGCACAGGAAGUGAGGUUGUCAGCAACCCGCGAAGUGUCUGCAGUUGUCCAUCACCCAUCAACCUGUAAGUACUUUCGUUGCCAAUCGUCGGCUACCUCAGAAAUCGGGAAAUCAAAUUUGUGCAGUUUGAACAAGACAUCACAAGCUGUGGGCUGCAGCCAUUUGAGUGUUUUUUUUUUUUUUUGCAUUGCAACCCUGGUCCCUCUCACCAUCUUGAAUAUUUGUUCCUACAGCUGGCGAGCUCACCAGCUGAUCUCCACUCCUGUCCACUUCCUCAUUUCGCUCCUCAUCUUUCACCUCCAGCCUAAUCGCUUUGGCCAGAAUGUUCCCGUGCAAGACAUCCCGGCCUCUUUCAAGUUGGCAAAGGGGGGAAAGGCCAUAACUUACGAGAGGCAGACUGUGCAGGAUUCGCAAAAAUCCAGUUUCUCCCUGUCCCUCGGCAGGGAUGGAAAUGAACACUUUACAGAGGACUGCACACAGCGGACGUUGCUGGAAGCAUUGCGGAGAGUUCAUGUCAGGCUUGGGCAUGAUGUGUUCUCAGAGUCCUGGCUCCAGCUGUUUUCCAUUCCAUCUGCAUCCACCUCUGGUUCCUGCUGGUGGGAGAACGAGUGAAAAGCCCGCAGAUGCAGGGAUCAGACGGCCCAUGAGGAGCCAGAGUGGACAGUGCCAGUCCUAAAGAGAAGAUGUGAGCAUUCCGAUCUCCUGCUUAGACAUGCCACAUCGCUGUGGUACAUGCUGAGCUGGCAGGGCUGAGGGUAUCCGUUCUCCUGGCACAGACUGGCUCAGAACACACCCUUGCCCUUCUCCAGCUGCACCCCAUCCAUCUACACUUCAUUCCUGCGAGGUGCCUGGCGGUGUCCAGUACCCAACCUCUAUCAGCAUCUAAUCAUAUACACUCUUAUAAACUGAGGCCGAGAUAUAACAUAAAAUGGUGGCCUUUGUCAUUGUGGUCCCAUAUCAGUGCCCAGGGGAGAUGUGCAAAUUAUGCAACAUUUAGGUUUGGGGCGGUUUGAGACUCAUGCCCCUUGACAUUAUCCAGCUUGGUCAGGGCACCCCUUGCUGUCUGAUACCCGAGACCUGGGCCUGGGACCUUUGGCAUUUGAUUCACGAGUCCGUGGCGGCCAGUGGAAUCACUGUCACUGGUGACGGAGAUGGACCCCAUUGAGAGUGUGAGGGAAACAGAGGGCACAGUGGCCUCGCUGAAAGUGCGUUCAUCUGUUGGAAUAGAAUGAGCGGGGAGGCCUGGUUCUUACUUUUUCUUUUUCUUUCCUCGGCUGACACACAGCACAUUCUUGUGCCGCAUGGAAGCUCUCCUGGAGUCUGCCCCUACUUGUAGUCAUAAGAUUUAUGACCUCAUUAUCGGCUGAAAAAAAGUGUUGUUUUAUGUAAAUGAUUUCAAUUAAGAACACGUGGCAGCGUUCUGGAAGUGACUACACCUACAUUUUCAUGAAUAUUUACACGACCUCUGCCGAGUUCUGGAACAGUUAGUCAACACAUACUGUGUGAUUCUGUCUAAACGCAUGUGUUCAGGCUGACUGUGUUAUUGUACUUUCGGGUAUCUUUAGUUUGCUUGAAUAUAUUUUUUGAGGUAAUCUGAGUGCUGUUAUCUAUU
rnacentral:lncRNA from 1 species